GAACGCUAGCGGCAGGCCUAACACAUGCAAGUCGAACGGUAACAGGAAGCAGCUUGCUGCUUCGCUGACGAGUGGCGGACGGGUGAGUAAUGUCUGGGAAACUGCCUGAUGAGGGGGAUAACUACUGGAAACGGUAGCUAAUACCGCAUAACGUCGCAAGACCAAAGAGGGGGACCUUCGGGCCUCUUGCCAUCAGAUGUGCCCAGAUGGGAUUAGCUAGUUGGUGGGGUAACGGCUCACCAAGGCGACGAUCCCUAGCUGGUCUGAGAGGAUGACCAGCCACACUGGAACUGAGACACGGUCCAGACUCCUACGGGAGGCAGCAGUGGGGAAUAUUGCACAAUGGGCGCAAGCCUGAUGCAGCCAUGCCGCGUGUAUGAAGAAGGCCUUCGGGUUGUAAAGUACUUUCAGCGGGGAGGAAGGUGUUGUGGUUAAUAACCGCAGCAAUUGACGUUACCCGCAGAAGAAGCACCGGCUAACUCCGUGCCAGCAGCCGC
rnacentral:rRNA from 1 species